rnacentral:rRNA from 1 species
CCAAGAGCACCGCUGGGUAGCUACGUAUGGAUUAGAUAAUCGCUGAAAGCAUCUAAGUGAGAAACUAACCUCGAGAUGAGAUUUCCCAUUCGUCAGAAGUAAGACCCCUGAGAGACGAUCAGGUAGAUAGGCUAGAAGUGGAAGUGUAGUGAUGCAUGGAGCGGACUAGUACUAAUAGGUCGAGGACUUAACCAAG